UCUCGCAGCGUGCUAACGGCAGUUGAACAGCAGGCAGCAGUAGAAGUCCGUCUCUCUGUUAGCUAGCUUCAUCUGGUGGAUGUUAGAGUCAGCAGAGCGGCUCAGUCACUUUAUCUAAAUGUAAACUGAAGGAUGAGGAGUUGAAGAAGAGGAGGAGUGAUUCUGUCCUGAUGAUCAGCAGCAACACUCUCCCCUGCAGUCAUCACUUCACCCAGGAGGUUUUAAAACCCUCCAUCACAGACAGCUGGGACUGAGCCAGACUGACUGUCUCCCUCCCGGACCUUCAUCCUCCGUCCGCCAACAUCUGGAGCCUCUGCAGCCUGACCAGCCGACCAACGACUAGACAGAGUGUCAGUGUGACAUGAUGCAGAAGGUCACCAGAGGAGUCUGAUGUCAGACAGAGAGACAUGUUGGCAGAAGGACUGUGGCCACACGCUGUCCAAAAGGACACGAAGCACCAGGAAGAAUACAGUUUGAUGUCUUCAGGAUGAACUCCAGAGCCAGAAUCUUCCUCCUGACCCAUGAUGUCAUUGAAGACGAAAGGAUAAAAUGUCUGUGGGUUUCCUUUUUCCUUUCUGAUUGUAUGAGUUUCAUACUGUAACAGACACACAAACCCUUGUUUUAGUGACAGUAAUGCCGUUGACAGAUGUGUGGUACUGUAGUGACCUGCCUGGAUACAUCAAUAUGGAUCCUAGUUGUUUUUAAUGACAAAAUCCCUCUAACACUAAAUAUCUACUAUAUACAUUUAAAGCUUGAAUACAUCCUGCACUAUAACAUGUUCAGUAUAUAUCUUCUAUAAAGGAUAUGGAAGAUAUAUCCUGCACACUGUAUAUACUGUAUAUAGGUGUCUUCAUGUAUAUAUAGUACAUAUCCACCCAUUACAUAUUACAUUACCCAUUUAAUUAAAAUUUUGAUUUAUUCCAUUGCACUAUUGAAUGAGUUUUAGAAGAUAAAAAAAACAGGGUCAGAUUCCUCUUAAGUGUUCAUAAACCCAGACAGUAAAAAUGAUCUUGAUGUCUGUUUUCAGAACUUUAAUUCAACAAACUAACAGAUAAUUAACUCUGAUGUGAUACAGAUGAAUACAAAUGAACCAGCCUACUUUCGCCGAUGAUACUUAAAAGAUAUCAGAAGUUUUUUUACCUUUCUGGUGAAACUUUUGUCAGAAGUUGUUGCACUGGCGGCAGCAGGGAUACUCAUUCUGUCUCGUAGGACGCUGCUGACAGAGUUGAUGAAGCUGGACUUUCCAGCUCCGACGGGUCCGUACAGAAGAAUUCUGAGAUGUCUGAUGUCGUCCCUUUCAGGCUUAUACUCCU